AUUCUAAACUUAAUGUGAGCGUAUGCUUGUUACAUUAUGAAGAUCUGUCUGAAGUUUCCCGACUGCAAAAGAUGGCGCAAAAUUUAAAUUGGACGUAACUUUAAACUUAAACUGGCCAUUCGGCAGGAACCAAGGGCCACUGUUAUCCGCCAAAUCGUCAGAAAAAAAGCGCGAACAAUCGUUAGGAAGACCGACUCCAAAAUUUGUCACGCCAUCAGGGCAUAAUAAGGACAAGCCAGUCGCGUAGUGAAGCUCUCGUCAGCUAUUCAUCUUCUUCAAUAUUCACACACCAAUGGUACACCCAGGCUUGUUUCUGGGAAUUGACUUGUCAGGAGUUCGUUCAUGUCAGCCUAAGGAUACACUUCUCUCCUGGCAGAAUGUUUCGACAGGUUUCCGAAAUGUCAACGGUUCGUGGACAACGGACAGUGUUGGGAAGAAAGGUUCAGAGCAUGGGUGAAAUCGAGGUGCAGAAAAACCUGUGGAUUCUGUGAAGAGAAUUGCUGGGACACCAAAUAUGGCUGUUGUCCGGACAGCAAAACUGCUGCUGAUGGGCCAGCGAAAGCUGGCUGUGGUGUGAAGUUAUGCGUCGACCUUCAAGACUGUGAAAAGGUCAAAGAUAAGUGCGUCAACAAGUCGGUUUGGUUCAAAAAUAACUGUGCUUAUACUUGCAGGUUCUGCAGUAAGUGUAUACCAAUGAAUUUAAAAAGUGAAAGAAAAAAUCUUGGAAAUUGCGAGGGAUCG